UAGAAAUUGCUAACUCAAGAAAGUAAUCCCUACAACGCAUACAUGGGCUUUCCUACACCAUGGGCUUUUCUAAAUAAUUGCAAAACUGU